UUUCCCCCUAUUUAGCCCAUUUUUGCUUUGUUUGGAAUAGUCGCCCCAUACUGUCAGCAAAGAUCGAGACAACUUGAGUUUGAGGGACUCGACAAGCCGCGGAGCAAAUGAAUGGAGAUUGAAUGAUUGAUCCCACACUGGCAGCGCAUCAGCCGGGCAACAUCGCAUGGUGAUCAGCGGAAGCCAGGAGAAACAGGAACGAGUGAGCGCUCUUUCCGUGGAUCUUUGACGUGCUGAAUGUGGCUGAAAGCGCUUGUCCUUUGGGGAAACGUUCGUCUUUGUUUCCAGAGGGCGUCCUUGUUCUGGAUUUUACUCGUCAGCUCAUCCCAAACCUCAGCGGAUGAUGUCUUCAGCCCUUGAAGACUGUUGUGUAAAAUGACGUGCAGAAGAACAUCAGUCAGAGCUGCAGCAGUGCUGAUGAUACUUGUGAUGAAUGUCUUCAGAGGACACUCCCUCACAUGUCGUCGAUUAGAGUAUCAGAUAGGGACUGAAUGCUGUCCCAUGUGUCCCCCUGGAAGUCGAGUUAAAACACACUGCACUGAGUACAGAAGUACUUCCUGUCUGCGUUGCACUGAAGGAACCUUCAUGAAUCAUCCUACUGGCCUUUCACAAUGUUUCACAUGUACAAGCUGUGAUGCAGCUUCUGGUUUGAAAUUAAAAACUUCAUGUACAGCAACAUCAGAUGCUGUGUGUGAGCCACUGGAGGGAUUCUACUGCAUGGACUCUGCAGAGGAGGGCUGUAAGGCAGCAGAGAAACACUCAAGCUGUCAGCCAGGACAGUACAUCAGUCAGAGAGGAACAGCAUUAAGAGACACUGAGUGCUCUGACUGCAGUGAGGGAACAUAUUCUGAUGGAACAUUUCCAUCCUGUCAGCCACACACACAAUGUGAAUCAGAGCAUCGUCAGCUGAUAAAAGCAGGGACUGUUUCAACUGAUGCUGAAUGUGGAGAGCAAAGUCCAGACAACACAGGACUUGUGGUCGGUGUUGGUGUGCUCGUAUGUCUUAUAGCAGCUGCAGCAGCAGCUGCAGCAGUUGCAUGGUGGCGUAUCAGAAAGAGGAAAAGCAGUGAACCCACAGGAAGAAGAAAAAGCAAGACAAGAGAAGAACACGCGCAGCUGAAUCAGGGGUGAUGAUUUGACAGCCAUAGUAACAGCAGCAGGAUGCAACAGUUCAUGUGUAAACAUGCAGACUGUUUUGGACACAGUUUCCUGUACAGAACUGCUGGUCUGCAGUGGAUCAUCAUCUCACACACAUGUUGUGUUGUCACUGUGUGACAGCUCCAGGCUCCUCAUCCAGCAGAUCCCUGAGGAGGAAAGUCUCAGUCAGAGUGUUUCUGUGAUGAAUUCCAGUAGGUCAUCUUCAUGUUGCUGUACGUGAUCUCCUGUGGGGGCCACACAGAGCUCACAGGGGGACCUGAACAUCAGACAGACUGAAAACUUUAACUGAAAAAAGCCCAGGUGAGUUCAGGUGCAGGAGAAAAGCAGCAAAUAGUCAGAAGAGUCCAUGUGCUGAAUAUUCCAAGUUCACAAGACAUCAUAUUGGUAUGCAGUUUGUGUACUGAAGCCCCACAGGGCUGUGAGCUGAGCCUGCAUGACACGACUGCUGAACUCAUCCUCCACAUUCCCUCAUUGGACACUUUGCUUUUGUCUUGUACUGCAUGAUGAUGUAAAUGUAUUUUUUCAUUGUCUUAGUCUCUCAAAUUCAAUUUCAUUUCUGUUCCUGGUGUUGUGGCAACACCUGAAUUACCUGAAUUUUGUGAGAUCAGUGGGGGAUAAUCUUAUUUUUAAGUCUGACAAUUUGGUAAGCAGUCAGUGCAUUUAUAAAAUGCACCAAAGUACGUCCACAUGUCUCUGACACAUAAUGUUUAGUCCACACAUGGUUGAACUUUAAUUGUUUGUGAACUCAGCUGUUACUCAGUGUGUGGAAUGGCCUCCCCUGUCCCACUGUCUCCUAAUCAGACAGUGUGGGUAUGUCUCUGUCUCUGUCUCUGUCUCUGGUCGUUUUUACUGCUCCGUCAGAAGCUGAUCCAGUUAGCUCCUCUGUUGUAUCUUUUAAAAUCUUAGUCCAUAUUUAACUGACUGUGACCAUUGAUGAACUGUCCAGCAACAGGUUUUGUGAAGCUGUGAUUUGGAAUAUUUCACACAACAGAAAGGAUGACAUUAACGCUGCAUGAUGUUAACCACUGACUGUAGUGAUGUCUGUGUUUUAUGUAUUUAUUUGUCUUCAUACCGUAUGCGUCAGUGGAGUGAUCAGCUCUGAGUAUCACAUAGAAAUUCCCUCUCCAUUGUGGGAGGUGCACUUCGGCACAGUAGGUGGCGCUGUCUUCCUGUAAUGUUGUCAAAGCUCCUGGACCAGACUUUGUGUCCCCCUCCACCCUGAGACACUGUGUGGACGAGCUGACUCCAGUGUUCAGACAUUUUCAACACCUCUCUGGAGUCAUGCUAUGUGCCAGUCUGCUUCAAAUCCUCCACCACAGUUCCAGUCUCCAGUGGAGAUGAUCAUUGACUUUCGGAAAGUGCCAGCUCCAUCGCUCCUCCUCACCCUGACAGACACCCCCAUCCCCACGGUGGACUCCUUCCGCUUUCUGGGUACCACCAUCACCCGGGACCUCAAGUGGGAGCUGACCAUCAGCUCCCUCAUCAAAAGUGUCCAGCAGAUGUUCUUCCUGUGGCAGCUGAGGGAACUCAAGGUGCCAGUCAAGAUGUUGGUUCAGUUCUACACGGCCAUCAUUGAGUCCAUCCUCACCUCCUCCAUCACCGUGUGGUACGCUGGGGCCACAGCCAGGGACAAGCACAGACUGCAGCGUGCUGUGAGGUCUGCUGAGAAGGUGAUCGGCUGCAGCCUUCCAUCUCUCAGAGACCUGUACACCUCCAGGACUCUGAGGCGUGCAGGUCGGAUCACGGCUGACCCUUCUCAUCCCGGACGUGGACUCUUUGAGAAACUCCCUUCAGGCAGGAGGUAACCUCACACCACAGGAACAGCUUCUCCCCCUCUGCUGUUGGACUGUUGAACAGCAGCUGAUUAACAUACUGCUCUGCUCUUUAAUUACUUCAGUACAGGAACUGAUCUGUGCUCAUGUCAAGAUCCACCUGCUGACCAUUUGCACUGUUUACCUCACUUACUUGCACUACUUCUCACUCUGUACUUCUCCAGAACACUAAUGUUAUUUUAUUCUAUUAUUAUAUGUUACUUGUUCUGAUGUUUUAUGUUUGCACCAAUCACUAAGACAAAUUGCUAGUAAUGUGAAAUCUUUUCACUUAUGGCAAUAAAUACAAUUCUGAUUCUGA